GAUGAACGCUGGCGGCGUGCCUAAUACAUGCAAGUCGAGCGAAUGGAUUAAGAGCUUGCUCUUAUGAAGUUAGCGGCGGACGGGUGAGUAACACGUGGGUAACCUGCCCAUAAGACUGGGAUAACUCCGGGAAACCGGGGCUAAUACCGGAUAACAUUUUGAACCGCAUGGUUCGAAAUUGAAAGGCGGCUUCGGCUGUCACUUAUGGAUGGACCCGCGUCGCAUUAGCUAGUUGGUGAGGUAACGGCUCACCAAGGCAACGAUGCGUAGCCCACCUGAGAGGGGGAUCGGCCACACUGGGACGGAGACACGGCCCAGACUCCUACGCGAGGCAGCAGUAGGGAAUCUUCCGCAAUAGACGAAAGUCUGACGGAGCAACGCCGCGUGAGUGAUGAAGGCUUUCGGGUCGUAAAACUCUGUUGUUAGGGAAGAACAAGUGCUAGUUGAAUAAGCUGGCACCUUGACGGUACCUAACCAGAAAGCCACGGCUAACUACGUGCCAGCCGCCGCGGUAA
rnacentral:rRNA from 1 species